GAAUAAACCUGAUGUGACUGUUAGCUGGCUUUUCGAAGCAUGUGCUCGUCCAUCAUCUUUAUCUCUCCACCUGUGCACAUUUUGUAGUCUUGGAUACCUCUCGAGGAAACUCGGAUUUGAGGAUCGCCGUGCUGUACAAGUCGGCUUUUCUUUCAUUUCCAAGACUAUGUUUUUAUAUACACCAAAGUAUGUUUAUAGAAUGUCAUCAAUGGGAACUUGUUUCCUAUAAAAUUAUACAACUUUCAGCAACGGAUCUCUUGGCUCU
rnacentral:misc_RNA from 1 species